UGGGGAAUAUUGCGCAAUGGGGGGAACCCUGACGCAGCCAUGCCGCGUGAAUGAAGAAGGCCUUCGGGUUGUAAAGUUCUUUCGGUAUUGAGGAAGGUUGAUGUGUUAAUAGCACAUCAAAUUGACGUUAAAUACAGAAGAAGCACCGGCUAACUCCGUGCCAGCAGCCGCGGUAAUACGGAGGGUGCGAGCGUUAAUCGGAAUAACUGGGCGUAAAGGGCACGCAGGCGGUUAUUUAAGUGAGGUGUGAAAGCCCCGGGCUUAACCUGGGAAUUGCAUUUCAGACUGGGUAACUAGAGUACUUUAGGGAGGGGUAGAAUUCCACGUGUAGCGGUGAAAUGCGUAGAGAUGUGGAGGAAUACCGAAGGCGAAGGCAGCCCCUUGGGAAUGUACUGACGCUCAUGUGCGAAAGCGUGGGGAGCAAACAGGAUUAGAUACCCUGGUAGUCCACGCUGUAAACGCUGUCGAUUUGGGGGCUGGGGUUUAACUCUGGCGCCCGUAGCUAACGUGAUAAAUCGACCGCCUGGGGAGUACGGCCGCAAGGUUA
rnacentral:rRNA from 1 species